UAAUUAUAUACUCGCGAGAGGGGAGGAGACAAAACAUUUUUAACGAAGCUCACUCUUACUCUCUCUCCGUUCUCAUUCCUUCUCUCUCUCUCGCGGAGGGGAACGAAGCGGCGGCGGCGGAGAUGGCGAUGGCGGAGGGCGGCGGCGGCGACUGGGCCACUCCGCCGCUGGAGGUGUUGCUGUCGAUAGGGUUGGAUAAGCGCACGGCGGAGAACGCCCUCGUCAACCACGAGCUCACCUCCAACCUCAUCGCCAUCAUCAACGAGGCUGGUGUUAGUGGAUGCAGCAAAUCAAUCGGUUGCGACAAAGUGCCCGACGAAUGCGCUCGGCCCUCGUCCUUUUCUAAUCAGAUAUAUUGUCUCAUCAAAGAUCAAGAAUUCAACACAGUUAGAUGCUGCUCUGUCAUUUCUUUCUAAUGCUGGCUUGGAAUCUUUCGAGUUGGAUAAAUUUGAAGAAGCUUGUGGUGUGCGUACGCUCAUUAGUUAUUUCUUAUAACUGUUUUACUUGUAUGCUAAUGAUAUGCUAAUGAUACACGGUAUAGUUGGGUGAUUAAAUUGUCGAAGAAGGAUCAUCACCCUGUGCGACUUUUAGCCUGAACACAGAGUAGUGCAUAACCGAUUGAUUUUGCAAGAGAACUGUUGAAAGUUAAAACUUCUUUGAGUUCGUUUCCUAUAAAAGUGUUAAAUAACAUGGUAUCUGAACUACCGACCGUCUCUAGAGCAAGUGGCAAAGGGCUUAGUGGUUGGUAUCCGAGGUCCUAAGUUUGAAUUCUAGUUGAUUCAUAUUUCCAAUUAAGUUUAUUUUUAAAGAAAUAAAUGAAGCAAGUAGCAUACUACCUAUCUCUAAAAAAAAAGAAAAACAUGGUAUCUGAAGAUUCUGAACUUCUUCUAACUCUAAGACCUGUCGGUUUCAUGAAGGCAUGGCUUAGAUUCCCUGUAACUGAUAUUUAACAUGUCAGGUUUGUAAUGCGCAUGGUUCAGAUGAUUCCAACCAUGCACAUGAUCAGGGGUGCUAAGACCAUGCCUGAGGUGAUUCCUAUGAGAUCCGUCCUUUUGGUUUUAGGCCUUUUAUUGAUGCUAACAUUUUAAAUAUGUUUGUGUUAUUUCAUUUAGCAAUAGCAUGCUGUUUUUGCUGUGUACUUGGAGUACAUGUUUCCCUUGAAGAAAUUCAAUCAGCUGUUUCUUUGGUCCUCGAAGAAAAUAUGCAUGCCAUUUUGGAGUUGCGUUACCGUAUAAAUGGUUAAUUUUCUCUCCUUUUUCACUUCCUGAUGAUAGAUAUUUUCUUGUUGCCAAAAUGUUUUUUAUUUUGUUGAACAAGUCAAUUAAUUUUUAUGUAUAUGUUAGGAGCUUUGCUGUGCAAAACCUGCUAUAUCUAGAUUUAUUCUAUUACUAGAUUUGGGCAAUAUAUGAAUUUGGGAUUCCAUUAUCACAUUUUAACUGAAAAAAAUAAAUUCCGCCUUUCUAUUCUUUUAAACUGUGUGUGCAGAGAAAUUUUAAAAGUAAACUUCUUGAGUCUUCACAAAGAAAAGUGAACAUCUUAGUGUCACGCCCAAGGCCCUUUUUGUAAAGCCAUUUUAGGAUAAGGUGUAGUUUGAAAAUUUUAAAAGUAAACUUAUUUCUUGUUUAUUUGGUCAGUUGGCAGCUUAUGUGGACAGGUUAGAAUACGUCAUCCUUGCGGUGAUGCUAAACUUGUCAAGGUGCAGAGUGAUUGUGUACAGGGCUAGAAUCACCUUGUUCAACGUGAUGUAUUUCAUAUUAUACGCUUGUCUCUCUUGUGACGGGAAGUAAUGGAUAAGGAGCUUUCUAGAAUAUUGGCUUAAAGAACAGACGCUGAUGAAAAAAGCCUCCCAAAAAGAAGGAAAAACAUGUAAAAGUUGAAGACCAGAAGAGAGCUACCUCUGCACUGCUCUCUGAGGAGGAAAUGAAUCCAUUUUCUAUAUUUCUGCAGCCUGAGGAAAACUCCAAGAUAUAAUUUUCAGUGAUGGAAUAAUAUGGAGGGCCCACAAUACAAAGGAAAUGCUAGGCAGGCAUCUCGACAGUUUAGGGCCGGCUAAUUUGAUGAUACCAACUCUGAAGAUGAAAAGAUAGAAUAAAUUGAGCGUAUGAAUGAAAUCAUCCAAUGGAUGGAUUGGCAGCCAUAUAUAAGGUUACUUAUACCAGCGAUUAUUUUCAAGAUUUAUAUGAUCUAGCUGUCAAGCUGAUAAAACAAGG